CAGUAGCCGCGGGAAUACGUAGGUGGCAAGCGUUGUCCGGAAUUAUUGGGCGUAAAGCGCGCGCAGGCGGAUCAGUCAGUCUGUCUUAAAAGUUCGGGGCUUAACCCCGUGAGGGGAUGGAAACCGCUGAUCUAGAGUAUCGGAGAGGAAAGUGGAAUUCCUAGUGUAGCGGUGAAAUGCGUAGAUAUUAGGAAGAACACCAGUGGCGAAGGCGACUUUCUGGUCUGUAACUGACGCUGAGGCGCGAAAGCGUGGGGAGCAAACAGGAUUAGAUACCCCUGUAGUCCCUGUCUCUUAUACA
rnacentral:rRNA from 1 species